UACGUAGGGGGCUAGCGUUGUCCGGAAUCAUUGGGCGUAAAGCGCGUGUAGGCGGCCCGGUAAGUCCGCUGUGAAAGUCGGGGGCUCAACCCUCGAAAGCCGGUGGAUACUGUCGGGCUCGAGUGCGGAAGAGGCGAGUGGAAUUCCUGGUGUAGCGGUGAAAUGCGCAGAUAUCGGGAAGAACACCCGUGGCGAAGGCGGUUCUCUGGGACGGUACUGACGCUGAGACGCGAAAGCGUGGGGAGCGAACAGG
rnacentral:rRNA from 1 species